rnacentral:tRNA from 1 species
UCUCUGGUAGCUCAAAAAGGUAGAGCAAUUGACUGUUAAUCAGUUGGCUAUUAGUUCAAAUCUAAUCCAGAGAGC